UGUACUUAGUGCUUCAUCCCUUGUUUCCUGAUGUGUCUUCCUAUCUAAAUAUCUUAUGUUUUAAUGUACUUUCUAUUCCUUUCCUCAAAUACGUUAUAGAUCAAAGGAGAUCCGUAAGCCAGCAUCUAUCUAAACUCUAUAUUAUCUGAAAUAGGUUCCAGGACAAUUCUUUCAAAACCAAAACAAAACUGAGUUCCUUGAAAAAUAAAGGCUGUAUAUGACUCGGUGGUAAAUAUUUCCGUAACAGGUGUAAAGGAGACAGUGUUUGCUUCCAGAGCUGUGACGUGACUGGCAGAACGAACAUAGGCUAUGCACCAGUAAAUCUCAAACUCUGAAUGAUAAGGUAUUCAGUUUCUAAGAAAUCAUGAUUAAGCUAUGCAUGCCUGGAACAGAGAAGAGGAAUCAACAUGAGAUUUCAUGACCCAGUUGACUCUUCCUUCAGUAUGUAUCCACAAAUGGUAUUAAGAAAAAAAAUUGGGAUAAAAUUGAACGAGAUUUGA
rnacentral:lncRNA from 1 species